rnacentral:rRNA from 1 species
GACGUGGGGGGCCAGCGUUGUUCGGAAUUACUGGGUGUAAAGGGCGUGUAGGUGGAACUUUAAGUCGGUGGUGAAAGCCUGCAGCUUAACUGCAGAACUGCCCUCGAUACUGAAGUUCUUGAGUACGGCAGAGGGAGAUGGAAUUCAUGGUGUAGCGGUGAAAUGUGUAGAUAUCAUGAAGAACACCGGUAGCGAAGGCGGUCUCCUGGUCCGUAACUGACACUGAGGCGCGAAAGCGUGGGGAGCAAACAGG